AAGAGAAAAAAACUCUCUUUUUCUUCUUCUUCUUCUUCUUCUACGUACAUACAGAGUUCACUGUGAAUUCCGAUGAUGAUGAUGAUACAUCCAUGUAGAGAGAGAGACAUACUGAAAUCAAAGCAAACCGAUCCGUAAGAGUAAGUAUUUAUAUCUCAUCGUUUCGUUUCGUUUCAUUAAUUGAAUGAUCGAUCAGAAAUCAGAUCGAUCUCCUCCUCUGUAUUCAUCUUCUUCUUCUACAGCCUAAAUCAAUAUCGUUUCACAGAGACGGUUUCACCAGAGACUAGCUAGGGCGGAAUUCAAAACGCAAAAGUGAAAGAGAGGAAUCGAGCGAGACCAGGAAGUUGUUUGGUUGGAUGCACACAGAUAGCCUCGUAGAGGAGUUGUAGCCAUGUCUGUGUAGCGACUCGUCGUGUUGCUAAACAACUAACUAUUGGGGAAAAAGAAGUUGGUUAAUGGUUACAACGUUCGUUUUGAAGUACUUGUUGACUGAUGUUAUGCUCCUCAAAACUGAUUAUUCUCGAUGAUGUGCUCUUUGUUCUUCUCGGCUAACAUUGUUGAGACUUCCCUAACUAUAGAUGGGGUUGUGUCAACAUACGUCAUUGAACCACAAAGAAUUCGUGUUGAGUCAUUGUUGGUGUCCCCGAUUUCAGAGGCAGAGAAGAGUUUUUUACAGGGCUUUAUACAGAGCAGUAAUGACUUGCUGCCCCAGAACUAUCCUGAAAUACUUGGGAGAGCACUGCAUCUGCAUGAUGAAGGUAACUUGACAAUGACAGGUGAGAUAAUGAGUGAUCAGUUCCCCUUGGAUCCACCACAUAUGGUGAAGAUGCUCAAACGAGAUUCUCUCUGUUUCAGCCCUUGUCUCAGAAUUACAGUAUUAGAGUUAGGUGUUAUCCCCAACAGUGUCUAGUCUGAGUUCUGCAUACCCUUGGUUAGGGGUAUAUCCUAAGUAAGUGCUAAUGCAGAUAAAUACUAGUUGCAAUUUCUUAGUUAUUCUCUCUCAUGAAGCAAAUGGUAUCAGUGUCAUGGCCUCUAUAUGCAUCUGCUGACGACCUCUUCCAUGGACCUCUUCUGUUAUAUAAACACCAAUUCUUUCUCUGCUUUAUUCGGCUUAGAGAGGCUCACAAAGCAGCAGAUGCUAGGUUUGGACAUAUUGAUGAUUGUCUACCAUGCUUUUAAGCAAAACAUCGAUGAAGAUCCCAAUUGGUGCUGUGAAAACUUCAUCAACAACAGAGCAAUGAAAUCUGCACAUAAUGUUAAGACACUAGAUAGCAGCUAGUCCAGAUAAUGUCAAGGCCAUGCUUGUCGGUUAUAUUUCAUGCAAGUGCCUCACUUAGAACGCACUGGCCAUUACUUGACAGCCAAAGACAACCAAGUGGUUCAUUUGCAUCCAUCAAAUUGCUUGGAUCACAAACCUCGGUGGGUAAGCUCUUUACAUAUCUCCUCAUGAAGCUUUGUCCUCGAGAAGCUUUGUAAGAAGAGAGAAAGGGACAAUCAUAUCCUCACAUGUCAACGUUUAAAUCUAUUUGGACAAGAGAAGCAAAGAGGAGGAUUAUAUGGUGAAUCGAGGUAGCUGCUCCCUCUCGUUUGUGGUUUUAAAUAUCAGAACAACCACCAAGUCGCCUCAAGAUGCUCAAGAGUCAAGACAUCACAGCCUUUCAGGUAUACCAUACACUUUCUAACUUUUUUUUUUAAUUAAGAGAAAUGAUUUUUUAUUUUUAAAUAUACAAUAGAAAAAAAGAAAGAGAAAUACCUUCAAAUAGCACUAAAAUAUGUUUUAUGAACAAUAAUAGCACACUUCCAUUGAUUUCUAAUAAUAUCACUAAUUAACAAAAUUACAAUAUGCUAAAUAAUUUUUAAGAAUUUUUUUUAAGGUUUGGGUUGACUAUAUUACAUUUAGGAUAUAGUUUUUUAGGGGGGUAGGGUUUAUUUUUUUGAAUCUAAGAUUUCAUUUUGAAAUUUUAAUUUUGAAAUAUAGUGCUAAUUUGGGAAAAUAGGAGAGUAUGUGCUAAGUUUGGAAGAAAAUUUUAAAUUAUUGUUAUUUUUGAGAAUUCCCACAAAUAAAAAAGACAAAAAAAAAUUAUGUUUCUUCAUUUCUGAUUUUUAUGAUUCAAAACUAAAUAUCAAGGUUUUUUACCAAAGAAUUUUCAAGUAACUAAUUUUAAUUUUUAAUUUAACCAAAUUGUUUUCUUAUACUUGUUUAGUAAGUGUUAAAUUAUAAUGCGUUGAAAAACAAACCGGACUUAACAUCCAGUCCCUUUGUGGUUUGUUAGUUUGGUGUAAAAGUUCAACAUGUUUUUACGAAUUGUAAAUUUUACGCGCUUAGUUAAUACGUUUUAAGGUUUUUAUAAUUUUUAUUUUUAACCAAAAUUUUUUCAUUAUAUAUAAAAUGUGUUAAAUUAUUAACUAAAUUUUUGGUUAGGCACUUUGCGAUUUGCAUAUUCCAUUCCUAUUCUUGAUUUUGUGUAUAGUUGCAAUCUACAUAGAACCCAAUCAUGUGUUUGAUGAACGCACAAAACAUACUAUCAAAUUGCAGAUAUCGUCACCUACCCUAAUCAAAUUUCUAGCUUACAGUCCAAGAUGAAUUACAGAAUAUAUUCUUCGCAUCUUGAAGGGGGACUAUUGGAGUAAAUAGUUCAUUGUUCCAUUUAUUUAAUCUGGUUAACUUUUUUUUUUUUUGUCAUCAUUACAAAUUAUACGUCUCUCUUUGAGAGGGACCAUACUCGAACCCGGAUCUGGUGAGAAGGCAACAGAGGUGAGAACCACUAGCCCACUUGUCCUUCU